UACAGAGGGUGCAAGCGUUAAUCGGAAUUACUGGGCGUAAAGGGUGCGUAGGUGGUUAGAUAAGUUAGGUGUGAAAGCCCCGGGCUUAACCUGGGAAUUGCGCUUAAUACUGUCUGGCUAGAGUACUGUAGAGGAAGGUGGAAUUUCCGGUGUAGCGGUGAAAUGCGUAGAUAUCGGAAGGAACACCAGUGGCGAAAGCGACCUUCUGGACAGAUACUGACACUGAGGCACGAAAGCAUGGGUAGCAAACAGG
rnacentral:rRNA from 1 species